UCCCUCUCUCUAGCGGUCUCAGCCGCUUUUCUCUCACGUCUUAGACUCUCAGCCCUCUCUCACCCUUUUCUCUCGCACUCUCUUCUAGUCUUCUAUCUCACGCUGUCAACAUGAGGUCUACUGCGUCCACUACGUCAUCCACCGCAGCCUCUCGUAUCCAAAGAGAAUUAAUAACACCUUUGCCAAGAAAUAUAUAGGCGAUGGUGAUGUUAACCUACAAAUUCCAAAUGGGAGCACUUGGCCAUAUCAAAUGAUUUAUUGUUUAUUAUAGUCUGCAAAUUUGGGCUAAUAAGCUCAGAAAAUAAUAAUCGGCAAAUCUAAGCUAUUAAGCUAAGAAAAUACCAAUUCAUGAAUCUCACGAGUUAGUUCAUGAAUUUCACUUUGGAACAAA
rnacentral:lncRNA from 1 species